GCCGGCGUGAUGGAAUUGGUAGACGUGCUGGACUCAAAAUCCAGUGGGAUUUAUUCCCGUGUGGGUUCGACUCCCACCGCCGGCA
rnacentral:tRNA from 1 species